CGGAGUUUGACGCAAGCGAAAGAAAAAGAAUAAUAAAAGAAAAAAGUUUUUUUUUGUAACGAGUCCCCCAAAAAAAUGGUUACCAGCAGUUUGCUGCUGGUUGUAAUAUUACGGUUCACUUUGGAUGAGAAGACGAAUCACACCCAUCGCCGAUAUGCUCUGGACCUUUGGCAAGAGGAUGGGAGGACUUCAUCGGAAACUACGGGAUUGCAUUUACAACCCGGCGCCCGCACGCUGGAUUUCAAAGGGGAAAAUCCGCAGUACAAUUUAGUGAUCAUCGGGAGAACCAGCCACAGAACACAGGAGGAAUAAAUAUAUGGGGCUGCUGGCAAAGUUAAAUCGACCGGAUAAGUCGACUGCCAUCGUCAACUGGUUGAUCAUUGCAUAAGAUGUUACGAAGUCGUCAGAUUCACGUUUCGGUUCACGCUCGUCUGGGAAGCAACACCAACCGCACAAAGGUAGACAUCAGGAGCCAAAGGGACAAAUGAUGACCUCAUUGCCUAUUCUAAUGCUGAUGUUUCAGCAGCAUGUUAGUACAAUAAAGAAAUUUGAAA